rnacentral:rRNA from 1 species
CGGCGAGCGAACGGGGAGGAGCCCAGAGCCUGAAUCAGCAUGUGUGUUAGUGGAAGCGUCUGGAAAGGCGCGCGAUACAGGGUGACAGCCCCGUACACAAAAGCGCAUGUGCUGUGAGCUCGAUGAGUAGGGCGGGACACGUGGUAUCCUGUCUGAAUAUGGGGGGACCAUCCUCCAAGGCUAAAUACUCCUGACUGACCGAUAGUGAACCAGUACCGUGAGGGAAAGGCGAAAAGAACCCCGGCGAGGGGAGUGAAAAAGAACCUGAAACCGUGUACGUACAAGCAGUGGGAGCCCCACCACUAAGCCAGUGGUGAACUCCACAUACGCAUCCUUUGCUGAGGAUACGGUUAACGGAGCGAAAGCGACGUUCAACCGCAAAAGAAGCAGAGGGGGCUUAGUGGUGGGGUGACUGCGUACCUUUUGUAUAAUGGGUCAGCGACUUAUAUUCUGUAGCAAGGUUAACCGAAUAGGGGAGCCGGAGGGAAACCGAGUCUUAAUUGGGCGUUAAGUUGCAGGGUAUAGACCCGAAACCCGGUGAUCUAGCCAUGGGCAGGUUGAAGGUUGGGUAACACUAACUGGAGGACCGAACCGACUAAUGUUGAAAAAUUAGCGGAUGACCUGUGGCUGGGGGUGAAAGGCCAAUCAAACCGGGAGAUAGCUGGUUCUCCC